GAGGGUGGAGGUGAGAGGCAGGAAUGGGAACUGGGUACCAAGUAGCAGUAGCAGAAACAGCAAAGGCAAAUAAUUCUGAAUGUGGCUAGUUUUGUUUUAGAGACAGUGAAGAGUUUGGCGUAGGUGCUGGGGAGAGCCCGGAAGUUGGAGCAGACUUUUAGGAGCUCAGUCUUGAGGAGCCGUUGAUGCUAGAUUUAGAAGUUUAGCAUUUGUCCAAUGAGCUAAGGAUUUUAAGCAAGAGAGAGACACAGAGUGUGAGGUGCUGGUUAUGGCAUGUCAGAUGCUUUGUAAGUGGGGAGAUCAAGGCCAGGAACAGAGCUCAGAGAAAGUUAAGGUGUGAGAUGAUGAAGCAGGGCUGAGGAGAUGGAGAGAAGGGAACAGAUUAAAGAGAGAUUUAGGAGAGAGAACUAUGACUAAUUGGUUAUGAAUCAGUGGCUCAAUCCAGGGGACAGGAUGUUUUCAACUCCUUAAAGUAUAUAUAGGAGUUCUCAUCGUGGCUCAGCGGAAACGAAUCUGACUAGCAUCCAUGAGGACACAGGUUUGAUCCCUGGCCUCACUCAGUGGGUUAAGGAUCCAACCGGCGUUGCCAUAAGCUGUGGUGUAGGUUGCAGACAUGCCUCGGAUCUGGUGUGGCUAUGGCAUAGGCCAGCAGCUAUAGCUCCAAAUCGACCCCUAGCCUGGGUUUGUCCAUAUGCUGUGGGUGCAGGCCCUGAAAAGACUACGUAAAUAAAUAAAUAAAAAUAAAGUAUGUACAUUCUUCAUCUAUAGGAUGGACUGAGCCUUCCAGUCUUGUUGGUAGGAACGAAGGGAUAGGUGGUCUGGUUGUUGCCACAACAGUGUUUUUAUGAUACCUUCUUUUGUCUGCUUUUCUACCUAAGGGAGAGUCUGAAGCAGCAGUUACUUAUUAGGCCCCAGGUGCCAGGAAAAGUCCACCAUGUUAACAAGAAACAAAAGAAGCUAUUUCUAGUGUAGCACGAAAUUCGCAAUAAGAUAUCAUGACCCAGAGUUCUCUGUGCAGGUUCCCCUCUUCCAGGAUGAGUGCCAGGUGACGUGUAUCAGAUGCCCGUUGGUGAGAUUUGAGGCGGACCCCAGACCUUAACACCCCUCUGGCUGAGUCCCCUCACAUGGUAGCAGGUAAGGUAUCGUCAGUCCCAUGUUGUAGCUGUGGCAGCUGAGCCUCAGAAGUUAUGUGGCUUGUUCAAGGGGACCCAGUUUGGGAUGGGACUGGGAGUGAGGGGCUCUUGGCCAGGGUCUUUCCAACGGGACUUUGCCUUUUUUGCUUCCUCUGCACAGGUGCUUUUCCUUAAAUCCUGGCUUAAGUGGCUCCUUCUUGUAAUUCAGAUGUUUCCUCCUCAGAUGACAUCCCCACCUGAUCACAUUAUCCUGUGUAUUUUCUUCCUAGCACUUACUAGUAUCUGAAAGUAUUCAUUAUAUUUGUCUGUUUCCCUUCACCAGAGUGGGAACUUCAUGAAAACAGGGGCAGUUCUGUCUUGGUCACCAUUUUACCCCCAGCAGCUGGAAUAGUAGAUACUUGAUAAGAUUUGCUGACUGAUGGAAGUAAGCUGGGGAGGGAGGAAGGGAAGGAAACCAAUGUUAGGUGAAAGCUUAGCCUGUUUCAGGUACUUCCCUAAAACGAUCUCAUUCGAUCCCCUCACAGCCUUUCAGGGUGGGUACUGCAUCUCCAUUGGGUGGAUAACAAGCUGAGUGAGGGCAUCAGCGUUUUGUUGGUUUUGCCGCCAUAGACUUCUUUGAGAAUCUCCAUUAGAGCCAAACUUUUUGCAAAUCACGUGGAGGAAUUUGAAGACCUCUUUGGGCCCACGCAGGGAUCCCAGAUAAGGGGACCCAGGAUUAAAGAAUUGCCUGAGGUCUUUCUGGCCUCAAGGCUUUGCCGGUCCCUCACUCCAAUGGCAAGUGUGGAUAACAGGAGUUUGUGAUGCACUGAGCCUUUGAUGUCUCUGCCCCGAGUUCAAAUCCUGACUCAGACUAGCGGUGUGACUAUGGGCUGGACUUCUCACCUCUCUGAAUCCCAGUUUCUUUGCUUUCAAAAUGGAAUCUUUUUUUUCCUCUAACAAUAACUAAUAUUUAUUUGAUCUUCUUAUUAAGUGCCCAGUACUUGGCUGAUGUCUUUACAGGUGUUCUCUCACUGUUACCAUAAGGUUGGUACUCUUACCAUCUCCCUUAUGCAGCUGGGGGCUGGGAAGUUCACUGUCAGCCAUUGUGCUCCUUACACACACAGUGUAAUGGGAUGUGCCAUGAGCUCAGCCUGCCCAAAGCUGACUUCUGAAUCUGUUGCAAACCCUGUUCUUAGGGUUUGUGGGAACAUUUGAGUCUGAACCAGGUUAAAAAAAGACAUGGAUGGCUGCAGAGCAGUAUGAAUGGAGGCCAGUCUCUUAACUCUGUAUGUCCCCUUUCCCCCUGUGAGGGCUUCUUGCCAAGCCGAGACGGAGCCUCUUAACUGGAACAUCUAUGUCGUCCCAGGGUCUGCUUUGCACAGGGUCUGCAUUUGUGUACGUGGCUGCUGUCUCUUUUUAGCAGUGACAUCACUCUGCCUGGAAUUAUGAGGCUGUCUCCCCACCUGGCUGGCGGCCACUGCUUGGCCAUUCCGAAUGGAAUUCCUCUGUCUUCUAGCCCCUAGCACAGGCCUGGCCCAGCAGUGCUGCUCAGGAAAUGCCUUUGGAAUCAAAGGGAGGACUCUUCCAUGUGUUGAGGAUUUACUGUGUGCCAGGCUUGUCCCGGACACUUUAUAUGUGUUAUCUCAUUUACACGGACCAGUAAUCCUGGGAGGGAGAAGUCACUGUCCCAAUUUUACUGAGAAGCAGCAGCCUCAGUUGGGCUUUGCCUUAGGUUCACUUGUCAUAAUUGACGGCCCAGGACCCACUCCAGGGCUUGUGCUGUCAUCGUGCCAUGAUGACUUCUAGAAGCCUUGGGCUGCUCAAUCCCUCAAUACCUGGGAUCCUCAGAGACUAUAACAACUUCUAGUCCAGCUCUCAUUUCAUCCAUGAGGAAGCAGAAGCCAAGGAAGGAGAGAUGACUGACUGACGGCCCCUCUUUUCCACUUACUACUUAUCCACUUACUUUGGGGCAGGAUGAGGUCCAGUUUUACUCACCAUAGCAGCAUCCAGGUAGCCCAGUUCCUGGUCCAGGUUGGACCCUCAGUAAAUGCUUUUACAUUUUUAUUAUGAAAACAUUGAGAAAAAGUAUAAGGAUUAGUAUGACAGACAUCCAUAUACCCACCACUUAGCUCAUGAAAUAAAACACUGCUGCUUUAACUGAAGGCCCUGGGGUGCCCCUCAACAACUGCGCCCCUCCCCCCACAAAACUGAGAGUCUUCUGAAUUUGAUUCUUAUUAUUCUAUGCAGGGUUUUUGUUUGUUUUUUUUUUUUGUCUUUUUUUGUUUUUUUAUGACCACAUUCAAAGCAUAUGGAAGUUCCC
rnacentral:lncRNA from 1 species